rnacentral:rRNA from 1 species
AUUGAACGCUGGCGGCAGGCCUAACACAUGCAAGUCGAGCGGGGUUUUCGGACCUAGCGGCGGACGGGUGAGUAAUGCGUAGGAAGCUGCCCGAUAGAGGGGGAUACCAGUUGGAAACGACUGUUAAUACCGCAUAAUGUCUACGGACCAAAGUGUGGGACCUUCGGGCCACAUGCUAUCGGAUGCGCCUACGUGGGAUUAGCUAGUUGGUGAGGUAAUGGCACACCAAGGCGACGAUCUCUAGCUGGUUUGAGAGGAUGAUCAGCCACACUGGAACUGAGACACGGUCCAGACUCCUACGGGAGGCAGCAGUGGGGAAUAUUGGACAAUGGGCGAAAGCCUGAUCCAGCCAUGCCGCGUGUGUGAAGAAGGCCUUCGGGUUGUAAAGCACUGUCAGCGAGGAGGAAGGGUGGUGUGUUAAUAGCACAUCAUUUUGACGUUACUCGCAGAAGAAGCACCGGCUAACUCUGUGCCAGCCGCCGCCGUAAUAC